rnacentral:rRNA from 1 species
GACAGAGGUGGCAAGCGUUGUUCGGAUUCACUGGGCGUAAAGGGUGCGUAGGUGGCGAGGUAAGUCGGAUGUGAAAUCUCGGAGCUCAACUCCGAAAUGGCAUUGGAAACUGCCCUGCUUGAGGGUUGGAGGGGGGACUGGAAUACUUGGUGUAGCAGUGAAAUGCGUAGAUAUCAAGUGGAACACCAGUGGCGAAGGCGAGUCCCUGGACAACUCCUGACACUGAGGCACGAAAGCUAGGGGAGCAAACAGG